GAUGAACGCUAGCGAUAGGCUUAACACAUGCAAGUCGAGGGACCGGCGCAAGGGUGCGUCACGCGUAUACAACUUGCCUCACAGAGGGGGAUAAGCCGGCGAAAGACGGACUAAUACCGCGUACUGUGAAAUAGGCAUGGGUCCUAUGAGCUAGUUGGUGAGGUACCGGCUCACCAAGGCAACGAUGGGUAGGGGAACUGAGUGGUGGAACCCCCACAAUGGUACUGAGACACGGACCAGACUCGUACGGGGGGCAGAAGUGAGGAAUAUUGGUCAAUGGGCGAGAGCCUGAACCAGCCAAGUCGCGUGAAGGAUGACUGUCUAUGGAUUGUAAACUUUUUUUGUAGGGGAAUAUGUACCCUACGAAUAAGCAUCGGCUAACUCCGUGCCAGCAGCCGCGGUAAUUC
rnacentral:rRNA from 1 species